rnacentral:lncRNA from 1 species
GUUUUGUUGUCCAUGAUUUGAGAAUUAUUUAAAAUCUAAAUGAAAAUGGACACUUGCUAAAUAAGUCACUAUUUAAUCUUAAAGUUAAUAAUUUUCUUAACAUUUUAUGAUCAAAUCAUAUGUGUUUGUACUAUGCAUGUUUUUUUUUAUGGAAAUCGUGACGUCACAAUGCAUUCUUAAUAGAACAAAAACUAUCAGCUGAUAAAGCAAAACCAGGGA